UACGUAGGGUGCAAGCGUUGUCCGGAAUUAUUGGGCGUAAAGAGCUCGUAGGCGGUUUGUUGCGUCGGCUGUGAAAUCCCGAGGCUCAACCUCGGGUCUGCAGUCGAUACGAGCAAACUAGAGUGUUGCAGGGGAGACUGGAAUUCCUGGUGUAGCGGUGAAAUGCGCAGAUAUCGGGAGGAACACCAGUGGCGAAGGCGGUUGCCUGGGGCUUUGCUGACGCUGAGGCGCGAAAGCGUGGGGAGCGAUCCGG
rnacentral:rRNA from 1 species